UACAGAGGUCUCAAGCGUUGUUCGGAUUCAUUGGGCGUAAAGGGUGCGUAGGCGGCGCGGUAAGUCGGGUGUGAAAUCUUGGAGCUUAACUCCGAAACUGCAUUCGAUACUGCCGUGCUUGAGGACUGGAGAGGAGACUGGAAUUUACGGUGUAGCGGUGAAAUGCGUAGAUAUCGUAAGGAAGACCAGUGGCGAAGGCGGGUCUCUGGACAGUUCCUGACGCUGAGGAGCGAAAGCGUGGGUAGCAAACAGG
rnacentral:rRNA from 1 species